UACGUAGGGUGCGAGCGUUAAUCGGAAUUACUGGGCGUAAAGCGUGCGCAGGCGGUUCGUCGUGUCUGAUGUGAAAUCCCCGGGCUCAACCUGGGAAUGGCAUUGGAAACUGGCGGACUAGAGUGUGGCAGAGGGGGGUGGAAUUCCGCGUGUAGCAGUGAAAUGCGUAGAGAUGCGGAGGAACACCGAUGGCGAAGGCAGCCCCCCUGGGUUAACACUGACGCUCAGGCACGAAAGCGUGGGGAGCAAACAGG
rnacentral:rRNA from 1 species